rnacentral:rRNA from 1 species
AGAGUUUGAUCCUGGCUCAGGACGAACGCUGGCGGCGCGCCUAACACAUGCAAGUCGAACGAGCGAGAGAGAGCUUGCUUUCUCGAGCGAGUGGCGAACGGGUGAGUAACGCGUGAGGAACCUGCCUCAAAGAGGGGGACAACAGUUGGAAACGACUGCUAAUACCGCAUAAGCCCACGGCUCGGCAUCGAGCAGAGGGAAAAGGAGCAAUCCGCUUUGAGAUGGCCUCGCGUCCGAUUAGCUAGUUGGUGAGGUAACGGCCCACCAAGGCGACGAUCGGUAGCCGGACUGAGAGGUUGAACGGCCACAUUGGGACUGAGACACGGCCCAGACUCCUACGGGAGGCAGCAGUGGGGAAUAUUGCACAAUGGGGGAAACCCUGAUGCAGCGACGCCGCGUGGAGGAAGAAGGUUUUCGGAUUGUAAACUCCUGUCGUUAGGGACGAUAAUGACGGUACCUAACAAGAAAGCACCGGCUAACUACGUGCCAGCAGCCGCGGUAAAACGUAGGGUGCAAGCGUUGUCCGGAAUUACUGGGUGUAAAGGGAGCGCAGGCGGGAAGACAAGUUGGAAGUGAAAUCCAUGGGCUCAACCCAUGAACUGCUUUCAAAACUGUUUUUCUUGAGUAGUGCAGAGGUAGGCGGAAUUCCCGGUGUAGCGGUGGAAUGCGUAGAUAUCGGGAGGAACACCAGUGGCGAAGGCGACCUACUGGGCACCAACUGACGCUGAGGCUCGAAAGCAUGGGUAGCAAACAGGAUUAGAUACCCUGGUAGUCCAUGCCGUAAACGAUGAUUACUAGGUGUUGGAGGAUUGACCCCUUCAGUGCCGCAGUUAACACAAUAAGUAAUCCACCUGGGGAGUACGACCGCAAGGUUGAAACUCAAAGGAAUUGACGGGGGCCC